rnacentral:rRNA from 1 species
UACGGGGGGGGCAAGCGUUGUUCGGAAUUACUGGGCGUAAAGGGCUCGUAGGCGGCCAACUAAGUCGGACGUGAAAGCCCUCGGCUUAACCGAGGAACUGCGUCCGAUACUGGAUGGCUUGAGGUUGGGAGAGGGAUGCGGAAUUCCAGGUGUAGCGGUGAAAUGCGUAGAUAUCUGGAGGAACACCGGUGGCGAAGGCGGCAUCCUGGACCAAUUCUGACGCUGAGGAGCGAAAGCAUGGGGAGCGAACAGG